rnacentral:rRNA from 1 species
AGAGUUUGAUCAUGGCUCAGAACGAACGCUGGCGGCAGGCCUAACACAUGCAAGUCGAACGAGAAGCCACCUUCGGGUGGUGGAUAGUGGCAGACGGGUGAGUAACGCGUGGGAACGUGCCUUUCGGUUCGGAAUAACCCAGGGAAACUUGGGCUAAUACCGGAUACGCCCUUCGGGGGAAAGAUUCAUCGCCGAAAGAUCGGCCCGCGUCGGAUUAGCUUGUUGGUGGGGUAAUGGCCUACCAAGGCGACGAUCCGUAGCUGGUCUGAGAGGAUGACCAGCCACACUGGGACUGAGACACGGCCCAGACUCCUACGGGAGGCAGCAGUGGGGAAUAUUGGACAAUGGGCGCAAGCCUGAUCCAGCCAUGCCGCGUGGGUGAAGAAGGCCUUAGGGUUGUAAACCCCUUUCAGCGGGGAAGAUAAUGACGGUACCCGCAGAAGAAGCCCCGGCUAACUCCGUGCCAGCAGCCGCGGUAAUACGGAGGGGGCUAGCGUUGUUCGGAAUUACUGGGCGUAAAGCGCGCGUAGGCGGACCUGCAAGUCAGGGGUGAAAUCCCGAGGCUCAACCUCGGAACUGCCUUUGAUACUGCGGGUCUCGAGUCCGGGAGAGGUGAGUGGAAUUCCUAGUGUAGAGGUGAAAUUCGUAGAUAUUAGGAAGAACACCAGUGGCGAAGGCGGCUCACUGGCCCGGUACUGACGCUGAGGCGCGAAAGCGUGGGGAGCAAACAGGAUUAGAUACCCUAGUAGUCC